CCUACGGGAGGCAGCAGUGGGGGAUAUUGCACAAUGGAGGAAACUCUGAUGCAGCGACGCCGCGUGAGGGAAGACGGUCUUCGGAUUGUAAACCUCUGUCUUUGGGGAAGAAAAUGACGGUACCCAAAGAGGAAGCUCCGGCUAACUACGUGCCAGCAGCCGCGGUAAUACGUAGGGAGCAAGCGUUGUUCGGAAUGACUGGGCGUAAAGGGUGUGUAGGCGGUGUAGCAAGUUAGAAGUGAAAUACCUAGAGCUUAACUCAGGUGCUGCUUCUAAAACUGCUAUACUUGAGUGCAGUAGAGGAAAGUGGAAUUCCUAGUGUAGCGGUGGAAUGCGUAGAUAUUAGGAGGAACAUCAGUGGCGAAGGCGACUUUCUGGACUGUAACUGACGCUGAGGCACGAAAGUGUGGGGAGCAAACAGGAUUAGAUACCCCUGUAGUC
rnacentral:rRNA from 1 species